CUCGUCUCAGUCCUAUCUUUGAUCUUGACGGUGCAGCAACGUGACUUUAAAAUUACGCGACAGUUCGUGUGAUCUGUUCGUUUAUCAAUACUUUUACCCGUGUCAUUUUCGUGGAAUCUGGUGACGAACGUUUUUCUUCAACAAAAAGGAAUCAGAAGAGGAGUUCGGUAACAAGUAUGAAUCAGGAUCAAGAAGUACCAGCCACGACUACAGAUUUGGCUAGGCUGCCAAACGAAGAAUUCAACAGGCUGAACGAGCCACUUCAAACAGUUACCACAGGAUACUGUCCCAGUAACUACUCCGUAACACAACCAAGUACCGAGGAGAAGCUGCACCCUGGUAAGUAGAACAUGUAUUUUAGGUGGAAGCGAUAUAGCAAGGUCGUAAAGUAAAGCACUAAG
rnacentral:misc_RNA from 1 species